ensembl:lncRNA
UCCAGGGAUUGGAUGUCCAGGGCAGGCUCUGAGGCUGAGCAACGCCAUCAGCCCCCAGGUCCCCUGGCUGGCGACUCUGUUAUGUGUGCUGUUUGUUCCUCAUGAUCUCAAGAUGGCUGCUGCUAAUCCAGCUGUGAUAUCUGUGCUUCAAGAAGAAAAGAGGGAUGACAUAAAAUCUGUAAAGCGGAGAGAAUCAUCACUGACUUUGAGGUUGUCGUGAGGCUGAGAUGAGCAGACCUAUGCAAAGUCCUCCCAGCAGUACUGGCAUAUGGCAAGCACUCAGUGAGGCAAAAUCAGUCUUGCAGGAAGAAUAAGAUAUGAAUUCCAUUAAGCAAAACGUGUUACCAGUCCUUCUCCAUGUCAGAUGACGCAUAGGCUGGGAUGCCUUGUUUCUGAUUCUGAAGAAGAGGAGAUAAGCGCUGUUAACAGGACUUGCUCAGCCUUUUCAAAGUGACCUCAAUGGACAAUGACCUCAGCACUGGGAAAGCUGGUCCUAGGAAAUGAAGGCAAAGUUGAAUAGAGAAAUGCCAGGUGAGCGGUCUUGGAAACAUAGCUUUGUCCACAUGAGAGGGCCAACAUGGAUAAUGAUCUAAGAAUCUGCAUUUGGAAUAGUUCUAAACUUCUCAGGGCCAAGCACUACAGAAAAGAGACCUGGGUUCCACAUUCUAUUACAGUUAUAUGAGAGUAAGGACUGGCUUUUGUGAGUUUCUUCCCCCAUUAAGAUCAUUUCUCCAAUUUAAAACGUACUUUACUGAUGAGUCAUUAGUGCCAGCUAUUCAAAGAAUGACAGCUCUAAAAAGUGUCUGAUGACAAGUGAGUAACCCAAAGCUGGAUGGCUACAGAGGAGGAUAUGAGUGACAUUAGCCAAGGCGUACUGGGUAUGUGCUUAGUGCCGAUGUGUGUGACUUCAUUUCAUCAUCCCAGAACAACCUCCAAGGAAGAUGCUGUUAUCACCACUUUACAAAUGGAAGAUGAGGGCCUGGGAUUUAGCUCAGUGGUGCCGCUGCCUGCCCCACAAGCACAAGGACCUGAGUUUGAUCCCUGGUACUAAAAAAACCACACACACACACACAAAAAUGGAAGAUGAAGGCUUAGAGAGGUGAUGCUGCUUACUUGUUUGUUUUUUCUUUCUGUACCGGGGAUUGAACUCGGGACCUUGCGCUUGCAAGACAGCCGGCAGAACCACUGAGUUAAAUCCCCGGCCCAAUGCUGCUUACUUGUAACCAUUUUAUAUUUUCAAAUGCAAAUGUUCUGCAAUUCCACGGUAAGCAAAAAUGGUUUCUAAAUUAAAUUUAGACAGAGGUUGCAUGAGGCAACAGGAGAGAAAGUGUAAUCAUAAAGAGAUUAGCAGUGGUGUGUUGGAAAGUGUUUAUGGUAACAACCAGCUCUGGGAUAUACCCUAAGUAAAUAUUGCACUGUGUCCAAGUUUGAGUUAUCCCCAUGAAGUUGAGCAGCUUGCAAACUUCCAGCUAAUUUAACCACCAUCUCUCCUGGAAGCUAUGAGUAGGGAAAUUUAGGGUACAAAACAUCAGUUUAGAGAAAAGUUGAGAGAACCCUGAAUGAACUAGAAGGCAAGAGUUGGAAUAGCAGAGUAUCUGGAAGAUAAAUGAGAAAUGAAGGACAUGGGACAAUAAUAGAGAAGGGGACAGAUUUGAGACCUACUGAGGUAAGAUGGAAGUCUCACUGGAAGUUUUCAGAAUCCACAGGAAGCCCAAGUCACAUGCUGUCCCAUGGUCCCCAACGUUUAAGGCUAUGAGUACACCUGGGGUUUAUCUCUGGAAUGAAGGAGUGUCAAAGAAUUUUCAGCCUGUUUUAAAACUUGCACGAGAAUAGGAGUUGGGGAAAAUGCAAAGGGAAGCCAUAUUUGUAGG